rnacentral:lncRNA from 1 species
UCCAACCUCAUGUACUCUUCUCCCAUCCCUUUGCCGAACACCUCGUCCACGCACGCAACCGCGAGCUCGUAUUUCACAUGCAAAGUCGGCAACUGUGGCGCCCCUGCUCUGUCCAGUUUCUUCAAAAUCCGUGCCACUUCGGCCUUGAAAUCAUUGUGCUUACACUCCUCGACAGUGUACAUGCGACCUUCUUCGAACGCUUCCCUGUAUUUGGAAUUCAAAAGGUAUGACAUCCUCUGUUGAAUUGUCACUGAGCAUUUGCAUUCUUGAUGCCAGAGCUUGCUUAUGAACUUCAAAUCCGAUGCCUUCUGGUUCUCGUCUGCCGGCAGUUUGUGCAGCUGAACCUUUCUCUGUGAAUCUCUUUCUGAAAGAUCUUCAGAGCUUUGGGGCCUGUCCUGAUCUGGUGUCGAUAUUUCAAACUUAUUUAUCCUAGUAUCUUUAGAGUCUUGCGAAUGGUGAUGCGUCUGUUUUGCUAACGGUUGCAAUUUUUCAGAGAAUGAUGUUAGCGGACACUCGCCGAACUUCGUUGGAUUGUGUCUCUUUUCAGGAGACCUUGUGACAAGCACCUCUCGGUGAUGGUCCUUCGCAAAGGGCUUCGACGUCAAUGCAGAUUUCGGUCGAGCUGAACCGUUCGCCGAAGAUGCCGUGAGAGAAUUUCUCGAUGAUGGGUCAAAUUCCCUUGAGCCUGCUUCUUGCUUGCUGAAUUUGGGUAAGUUGGGUGUUCGAUGUCUGAUAUUCAUGCUUUUCGGCGGCAUCAUGAAAAUCUGGCUCGCUUGCCUUGAUCUCCCUUCAGCCAACUUGCGCUGGAGCAUGUGGGAUGGAGAGAUGUAUUCCAUUAGGUAGUUAUCAGAAGAGUCGUUAGCUUUGUACAUGGGUGUACGAAUGAUAGCACGCGGAAUUUCGGUCCCAGCUCCAGCGCGAGGCUCAAGGGCCUGAAGUUGUUGCGCAUAAUUCAGGACAAAGCCAUGGGAUUGCGGUGUCGUUAGCCUCGGCACUGUCAUGCGUGUAGCAGACAGAUAAUGCCGCAUUCUUCUCAAAGCCGUUAGCAAUGCUCUACUCUGAUGUCUCGUUCCAUAGUGUGUCCCUUCUGAAGAAAUAGCUUCAGAUGAAAUGUUACGAACAGGUUCUGAACGCGUGAUAUACCUCGUACCAUUGAAAGUGUAAUCAAUGGAUGCAGUCCGAAAUGUUAAGCUUGUUCUUUAUCUACAAUUCCCCUAAAACAAUAUUGAACAGCAGGUGAAAGUGACGCUUCAGAUGAGUCAAAAGGAAAGGCGAAUCGAGAAGUAACACAGAUGCGCAUUAACCAGUCGUUCACAGGAGUAGAAUGAGUAGGAGCCACACGAAGCGAAGUUUGAUAGCAUGCGUUGGAUUUGUCACUUCCUCUCUUCAGCGAGUACCAGUGACGUUAGAUUUGAAAGGAACAAAAAGAGGAAGAAUCCAAUAGUUCCACCGUCCCACAUCUCUCCAGCAAGGUGUGAGUUUUGUAUCUUGCCUCAUCGACAGUAUUCUAAUUUUAACUAUACUCCCAACAUACUGCCGUCCAUCCCUGACAAUUGUUAGUAACCAACAUAGUUAAAGCGAUUAGUCUCGCGCUAUGAUAAAGGAAUAUGCACGCUAUAAAGAAAAGUUAAACGACACAACAGGUUUCCUCUACAUUCGUAAAGAAGAUAAGUUGAAUACAUACAGAUACUC